rnacentral:rRNA from 1 species
GAUGAACGCUGGCGGCGUGCCUAAUACAUGCAAGUCGAGCGAACAGAUAAGGAGCUUGCUCCUUUGACGUUAGCGGCGGACGGGUGAGUAACACGUGGGUAACCUACCUAUAAGACUGGAAUAACUCCGGGAAACCGGGGCUAAUGCCGGAUAACAUUUAGAACCGCAUGGUUCUAAAGUGAAAGAUGGUUUUGCUAUCACUUAUAGAUGGACCCGCGCCGUAUUAGCUAGUUGGUAAGGUAACGGCUUACCAAGGCAACGAUACGUAGCCGACCUGAGAGGGUGAUCGGCCACACUGGAACUGAGACACGGUCCAGACACCUACGGGAGGCAGCAGUAGGGAAUCUUCCGCAAUGGGCGAAAGCCUGACGGAGCAACGGCGCGUGAGUGAUGAAGGUCUUCGGAUCGUAAAACUCUGUUAUUAGGGAAGAACAAAUGUGUAAGUAACUGUGCACGUCUUGACGGUACCUAAUCAGAAAGCCACGGCUAACUACGUG